AUUGAACGCUGGCGGCAGGCCUAACACAUGCAAGUCGAGCGGAUGAAGAGAGCUUGCUCUCUGAUUCAGCGGCGGACGGGUGAGUAAUGCCUAGGAAUCUGCCUGGUAGUGGGGGACAACAGUUGGAAACGACUGCUAAUACCGCAUACGUCCUACAGGAGAAAGCAGGGGACCUUCUGGCCUUGCGCUAUCAGAUGAGCCUAGGUCGGAUUAGCUAGUAGGUGAGGUAAUGGCUCACCUAGGCGACGAUCCGUAACUGGUCUGAGAGGAUGAUCAGUCACACUGGAACUGAGACACGGUCCAGACUCCUACGGGAGGCAGCAGUGGGGAAUAUUGGACAAUGGGCGAAAGCCUGAUCCAGCCAUGCCGCGUGUGUGAAGAAGGUCUUCGGAUUGUAAAGCACUUUAAGUUGGGAGGAAGGGCAGUAAGUUAAUACCUUGCUGUUUUGACGUUACCGACAGAAUAAGCACCGGCUAACUUCGUGCCAGCCGCCGCCGUAAAAC
rnacentral:rRNA from 1 species